rnacentral:tRNA from 1 species
AGGAAUGUGACUCAGGGCGAGAGCAUCUGCUUUGCAUGCAGAAAUUCCCAGGUUUAAUCCCUGGCAUCUCAA